CCUGUCCGCAGCGUCGCCCGCCGCUCUCUGUCGCUGGCCACCACGCCGCAUCUAGGACCGGUUCCUCUCCCGCAUCCACCAUCGCUCCCUCCCGCAGCUCUGCAGCCUCCAUUAGGUGGAUCGGAAAAUUGGACUUUUUCGACGGAUCCACCGUAGCUUCCCAACGACGCCGAGAAGAGGAGAUAGAAGCAACAGGGAGGCCGUGCGCCACCUCUAUGCACUGGAUUUGAAGGCAAGGUCUGCGCUCCCCACCGCGUCGACAUCCAAAUCCAAAGGUCCAAAAUUUUUCCGCGGAGGUGGCGGGGACGGCAAGGUUCUCUUCAAGCUGGCCGCCGCCAAGGUCAACCGCGCCGACACGGUCCAGCAGCAGGGCAAGUACCCGCCGCCGCCCUACGCCUCCCUCUACCCGGGACUCGAGUGCUCCAGCACCAUCCUCAAGCUCGGGGCCAACGUGCCCCCGCGCUGCAUCGUCCGCAUCCAGUAACAAGCAGGAAGGAGCUUCAGUUGCUCACAUGAGAUGCGAAGUGGGCAAUCCUUCCUCAGGUUGGAAGAUGUUCAUCCUAAAGUAAACCAAUUUAGGCAAACAAGAAAGGUCUGGAUUUUGCAUCAGAUUCCUAUUGUGCGAGAACACAAACAGAAUAUAUGCAACAUUUGCGGGAUGGUCAAUGGUACUUCUAAUAUUUCUAAGUGCAUUCUUCAUGCAAGCAUCUCGUAAUGGCAAUGAUCUAUGGUUGACUUACAGGGUUGAUACCAGCACAUUUACCAAAAAUACAAGAUUUUAUCUGGCAAGUCAUGAGCAAGAGAUGCCGCUCUUAAUGCCAUAUAAUCACUGCUGCUAGAUAUUGGAAUAGAGAGAGCUACAGGAAUCGUGUGAAAUAUCACUGGGGGUUCUGAUUUGACUUUGUUUGAGGGAAAAGAUGGUACACAAAUCAGAGUAUUUGGAAGAAAGGCGUCCAGGCUUUACUCUUGUUGCUGCACCAAGAACAAUCUUGCCAGAAGAUGUGACAGAACCAACAACAGGGAUCAAGUUCCCUACCCUUCUUGAGGACAAUUCAAACCCACUGCAUUACCUUCUUCAGUAGCUUCUUCAGGUAACAGUUCAGGACGACGACGAUCUUGUCCAGGGAGCCGAGGACCUCACCGUCGAAGCAGCUGGCGGCCUAAUGGCGCGGGGAGGAGGUCGAGCCGUCGCGACAACGAUGAGCUCAGAGGCAGGGCCGCGAUGGCGUCGAGCUU